rnacentral:rRNA from 1 species
AUUGCACGCUGGCGGCAGGCUUAACACAUGCAAGUCGAACGCGAGGCGGAAGUGAGAGUAAUGCUUGGGACUCUCACUUAUGGAGGGGGAUCACUACGGGAAACUGUAGCUACUACCGCGUACCAUCGGAUGAGUCCAAGUGGGAUUAGGUAGUUGGUGAGGUAAAGGAUGACCAAGGACACGAACUCUAGCUGGGCUGAGAUGAUGACCAGCCACCCUGGAACUGAGACACGGCCCAGACUCCUACGGGAGUCAGCAGUGGGGAAUAUUGCGCAAUGGGGGCAACCUGACGCAGCCAGGCCGCGUGAAUGAAGAAGGCCUUCGGGUUGUAAAGUUCUUUCGGUAGCGAGGCGUUAACUACAGAAGAAGCACCGGCUAACUCCGUGCCAGCAGCCGCGGUAAUAC